AAAGGUGCAUUGGAACAGGCGCUCCCCUUUCGAGGGAGGCGGCCGGGCUCCGUAGAGGGCAGCGGUGGCUGGACAGUCCCGUGGGACCAGA
rnacentral:ncRNA from 1 species